GUUUGAUCCUGGCUCAGGAACGAACGCUGGCGGCGUGCUUAACACAUGCAAGUCGAGCGGAAAGGCCACUUCGGUGGUACUCGAGCGGCGAACGGGUGAGUAACACGUGAGUAAUCUGCCCUCCACUUUGGGAUAGCCACCGGAAACGGUGAUUAAUACCGGAUAUGACCAUUUCUCGCAUGGGUUUUGGUGGAAAGUUUUUCGGUGGGGGAUGUGCUCGCGGCCUAUCAGCUUGAUGGUGGGGUAAUGGCCUACCAUGGCUUCGACGGGUAGCCGGCCUGAGAGGGUGACCGGCCACACUGGGACUGAGACACGGCCCAGACUCCUACGGGAGGCAGCAGUGGGGAAUAUUGGACAAUGGGCGGAAGCCUGAUCCAGCAACGCCGCGUGAGGGAUGACAGCCUUCGGGUUGUAAACCUCUUUCAGCACAGACGAAGCGAAAGUGACGGUAUGUGCAGAAGAAGCACCGGCCAACUACGUGCCAGCAGCCGCGGUAAUACGUAGGGUGCGAGCGUUGUCCGGAAUUAUUGGGCGUAAAGGGCUCGUAGGCGGUUUGUCGCGUCGGGAGUGAAAACACACAGCUUAACUGUGUGCUUGCUUCCGAUACGGGCAGACUAGAGGUAUGCAGGGGAGAACGGGAUUCCUGGUGUAGCGGUGAAAUGCGCAGAUAUCAGGAGGAACACCGGUGGCGAAGGCGGUUCUCUGGGCAUUACCUGACGCUGAGGAGCGAAAGUGUGGGGAGCGAACAGGAUUAGAUACCCUGGUAGUCCACACCGUAAACGUUGGGCGCUAGGUGUGGGGCCUAUUCCAUGGGUUCCGUGCCGCAGCUAACGCAUUAAGCGCCCCGCCUGGGGAGUACGGCCGCAAGGCUAAAACUCAAAGGAAUUGACGGA
rnacentral:rRNA from 1 species